UAGAUGAGUGGAAAGGUGCUGUGUGCAUCUU
rnacentral:piRNA from 1 species